GACGAACGCUGGCGGCGUGCCUAACACAUGCAAGUCGAACGGAAAGGCCCUGCUUUUGUGGGGUGCUCGAGUGGCGAACGGGUGAGUAACACGUGAGUAACCUGCCCUUGACUUUGGGAUAACUUCAGGAAACUGGGGCUAAUACCGGCUAGGAGCUCCUGCUGCUUGGUGGGGGUUGGAACGUUUCGGCGGUUGGGGAUGGACUCGCGGCUGAUCAGCUUGUUGGUGGGGUAGUGGCUUACCAAGGCUAGGACGGGUAGCCAGCCUGGGAGGGUGACCGGCACAUUAGGACGGAGAUACGGCCCAGACUCGAAUGGGAGGCAACGGUGGGGAGUAUUACACAGGGGGCGGAGGCCUGAUGCGACAACGCCGCGUGGGGGAAGACAGCCUGCGGGUAGGGAACCACUUUCGCCUGAGACGAGGCGAGAAUGACGGUAACGGGAGAAUAAGCACCGGCUAACUACGUG
rnacentral:rRNA from 1 species